rnacentral:rRNA from 1 species
UACAGAGGGUGCAAGCGUUAAUCGGAAUUAUUGGGCGUAAAGCGCACGUAGGCGGUCUAGCAAGUCGGGUGUGAAAGCCCUCAGCUUAACUGAGGAAGUGCAUUCGAAACUACUAGGCUUGAGUACUGAAGAGGACGACGGAAUUCCCGGUGUAGAGGUGAAAUUCGUAGAUAUCGGGAGGAACACCAGCGGCGAAGGCGGUCGUCUGGGCAGAUACUGACGCUGAGGUGCGAAAGCGUGGGGAGCAAACAGG